UGUGAAUGUAACAGAUAAAAGUCAGGACUCAAUGCAGACUACAGUAGUGUAGACCUGUGGAGAUACAAGUAUGUAGGUAUUUUUGAUGUAGGAAAUUAAAUUUCUUAAAGGCAGUGAAUCAGUGAACAACUCUGUAGCUAAUGAAAAUAUUUGGCUGUUUUUCUUCCAUACAGUGUUCUGUGUAUACUCACAGGUGAAUACAUACAGUGUUCUGUGUGUACUCACAGGUGAAUACAUACAGUGUUCUGUGUAUACUCAGAGGUGAAUACAUCUAUCCUGAAUCAAACAGAAGACCUGUCUGAUCUACUAAGGAUUGAAAUAAGAUAAAAGGACACAAUUCAGACUACAGUAGUGUAGACUUGUGGAGAUACAGGUGAAUACAUAUAUCCUGAAUCACCAAAAAGACUUACUGUAACAGAUCUACUUGUGAUUGAAAAAAGGACAUCAUGAAGCUCCAGUGGAUCCUCCUGCUAGGGGCCUGCACGGUGGUGAGGGCAGAUUAUCCACCUAAAGGUUACUACAGUUUUGUCAAGAACCACUUAACAAGGAGAAUGGCAAUCCAGGACUGUACUGGCGUCAUGGGAACACUGGAGCUGAAUAACUCUGCUGAUGGCACCUGCAAAUAUACGAACACGUUCAUCGUUGUUGACCCCAACGGCAAACUGGUGGAGAAAGUCUGUAAUAAUGCUGGAACACGAACAACUAGAAAUAUAUACACUAGCAAUCAACCAUUCUCUCUAAUCACUUGUAGGAUCUUUAAUGGCACUCACCACCCUAAUUGUGUAUACAGAGGUAAAGCAUCAACAAGGAGAAUCAAAGUUGGUUGUCUAGGUAAACAGAACAGCCGUUGGCCGGUACACUUUGAUGGUGUUGUUUAGCCAGACAAAGGGCCAUGAAACAUUUGCACGAUUCAGAAAAGACAAAAAACAAAUCUAAAACCGAUUCAUAAUAAUUGUGAUCAGCAAAACAAUAUAGGCUAGCUCAAAUCAUUUUAACACUGUUCAAUGUCACGGUAGUCCAUUGUAUGUGAAAAAAAAUACACAUUUUUGUCAGCUACAAUACGAAUCUUUAAUCAGUUCUACUAUUUUUAUUUCCAUAAGGUGGGACCAUGUCACUGCCACUACACACUUUGCCAUCAAAUGUGAUAGAAACUGGCCAGAACAAUUUAAAAUAAUUGUGUUUAAUAUGAUCCUUUAGUUAUCAGUGGCUUCCUUUUACAGUAAUGAUUCCUUGAUUUCUUGAAUUGCCCUCACUUGUGACAAACACAUCUGACAAACAGCAUUAUUUCAAUUGUAACUAAAUAGUGAAAAUGUUUUAAAUUAAUUCUACUGUGUGGGCAGACUGUUAAGUAGUAUUGUGUGUAUGGUGUUAUAAAUUACAGUUACAAUAACAUAACAUUUGGCAAUUUCUGUUAAAACAGGUUACUAAACUAAUCGGACAGUAAACAAACCUCUAUUGAAAACAGUUUGCUCAGCAUUUUGCCUUGGAAAACUUGUGAUGUUUUGCCUUGAACUUGUACAAUAAGAUCAAAUAAAUCUCAAAUUCUCACAAUCUAAA